rnacentral:rRNA from 1 species
UACGGAUGGCGCAAGCGUAGUUCGGAAUCAUUGGGCGUAAAGCGCGUGUAGGCGGUCUGGUCAGUCGGGUGUGAAAGCCCGGAGCUCAACUCCGGAACUGCAUUCGAUACUGCCAGGCUAGAGUCCCGGAGAGGGUGGUGGAAUUCCCGGUGUAGAGGUGAAAUUCGUAGAUAUCGGGAGGAACACCAGUGGCGAAGGCGGCCACCUGGACGGUGACUGACGCUGAGACGCGAAAGCGUGGGGAGCAAACAGG